UUGUUGUAUGAAAGGAGAAGAUAAAAUCCCCUUGUGAAGAUGGAAAAAGGCCCUAGUGGCCUUUACAAUACAUAUAGCAUUCAUAUAGUUAAGGCAUUGCUCCCUAUUCUGUGGCAUCCUUCUUUUU